rnacentral:lncRNA from 1 species
UGAGUACAUGAUCAAAAACACGAACCUUUUGACCCUCACCAUAUCCAAGAAAAACACAAGUGCAGAACGAGGAAGACAAGGAGAAGAAACUUACUACGUUUACACGAGCGAAGCACAAAACAAGCACCAACCAAAAAUUCUUAAAGACGAAUAAUUUGGAGGAGGGACAUGCAAUUUUUCAAAAGGCGACAGCCUUGAAUGAUGUUGAAAAAUGAGCUUGAUGAGCUCAAUUAAGACCCGAGCAGCAGUGAGGAAUGACUCGCCACAGAAAGUACUAGGAACCAAGCAGGAGAAAGUAAGAGGAGACCGAAGCAGUAAACAAUAUGGCAUAUGUUCCUGUCAGCCACACAUUUUGCUUGGAGUAUCAGUACAAGAGGAUUGAUGAAUAGUUCAAUCUAAAGGCAAGCAACCAGAAAAUUUAUUAGAAGUAUAUUCACCACCCAAAUACACCGAAAAUAUUGAUAACAGCAGAAUGUUUUGUUUUCAAAAGAGCACGAAAGGUUUUAUAAAUACCCAAAAAUCAGAACGAUUUUUUCAUAGAUAAACCUAACAAUAACGAGUGUAUGUAUAGCAAUAAAAGAAACAUAAUAAUGGAUCCGCCUUGGUAGCACAUAGGUAGGACAAUGUCCCAACACAUAGAAUGAACUAAAAUCAAAAGGUACAAGAGAAAUAUAGAGAUAAUUCUAUUAAAAGGUAGGACAGAAAAAUUUUAUAGUUUACAAACCAAUUGCAAGUAGAAAUAUCAUGUGCUGACAAAUUACCUAAGAUUUCGGUAGAGGCUAAAAUACUUUUAAAACGAGAGACGAGAAAUGACCUAGACGAGGAGUGCCAUAAAUAAAAACUAGAAGAAGAAGGACUCAAACGAAAAGUGACAAAUCGACACCAGUAGAGACAAGCAACUGCAGGUACACUCAGUUGGUCCAAGCUUAUAUAAUCCUCUUGCCUAUGGCCUGUCCUAAUCAGCUUCUGGGUUGCGAGUCCUGCCACCUGAACAAGAAGGGGAAGAAAAAAGAACCAAAUAACCGAGUUACACAAUUGACUAACAGAAACAAGAUUUAAGGAAAAACUAGGAAUGUGAUGCAUCGUUAGAAAGAGAGAUAUUAGUUUGCAAUACGACACAACACCCGCUAAUGAUAGGGUUCCCAUCAGCGUUCAUGACAGAUACAGGUGAUAUGCAGGAGACAAUGAAGUAAAAAAUAGGAAGAGUUGGUGCCAAGUGUGAUGAGCAGGCGCCAGAGUCUAAACCCACAAAGCGAAAACAUACCUGAGGAAAUAGUGAGGAGACAAACCAAAGAGAUGAGGCAGACCAUCGCAGAUGGUUGGUGGCAAGAACUGAUGGAACUCUCAGAAGAGCAUCCAUGGUGGGAUUGACGACGGUGGAAGCUCCAAAAAUCAAAGAAAGGUUUGUGGUGGGACCGUUGCUGAAAUAUUAGACUGGGGGCCUGUUAUGCUUGUUAUUGGCACUGGUUGCCCGAACUCCUUGUUGAGACGGAUUCUGAACUCGAUUAAGUAAACACAUGGGACAUUGGAAUCUUUAGUGACCCUUGCGCUUACAAAACUGCAUUCAUCAAAUCCAACCUUGGCCUUGAAUGGAGAACUAGAAGGUGGUCGAUAGGUACUACAAAAACAGAAGAUGAAUGCUGGAGUGGGAAGAAUGCCCUUGUUGGAGUGAUGAACUUAGCCGAAUCUACUCUUGCUAAAAAAGCUCAAUUGACACUGAAUCUACCGAAGGACGUGGGUUGCGAUUGCAAAAAUUGAUUGAACACGAAGACCCUCAAAAUCAUCACGAAGAGCCAUAAGCAACGCCACAAGUCGUUUUUCCUCUCUCGAGCAAUGUAUGGUGCAAACCCUUGUAAUCAGCAGAUUGUGUUAGUGCCAGUUGGUCCCAAAGAUAGACAGUGCAAGUAAAAUUCUGAAUACACAUAGUGUUCUGAAAAAGAGCUCUAAUAUCAGAUUUCAAUUGGUCUGCUUUGCAACAUAGACUGUGUAUACAGCCUCUUAAGUGAUCCCAAAUCUUUUAUGUUUCAUACUUUGCCAUGUGUACUGAUGAGUUGCUCAACAGAGUUGUUGAUCAAGUGAUGAUUUUGGAAUAUUGACACCCCAACACUCCUAACUUCUCUGCAAAUUUUUCAUCAUCGAGAUCUGUUAGAUGACCCAUGGUUGCCCACAAAAUACCCCACAUUGUUUUCCUUUCAAAAAAUCUUUCAGAAACAUAACUCCAAUACGAAUAAUUCUUCCCAUCAAUCUCUUAGCUGAUAGCCUGAAGUGAAUCCUCCCGUUCAACAGGCCAUUGCGUAAAAAAAUAAUAAUUACUAGAAUCCCAUCAACUAGAGAAUAUUCGAUCAAAAAAAAAAAACAAAGAUUGGGCGGGAAAACUGUAACUGAUAACACGAUUCUAAAAAAAAAAAUAAUGGUACCCGACAAAAAAAAAAAUUCCUUUCAUGAGAUUAAAACUGUGAAAGCUUUGUGAAUGAGAUAAACUUUCUUUUUAUGCCAUCAU